UACGUAGGGUGCAAGCGUUGUCCGGAAUUAUUGGGCGUAAAGAGCUCGUAGGCGGUUUGUCGCGUCGAAUGUGAAAACCCGGGGCUCAACCCCGGGCCUGCAUUCGAUACGGGCAGACUAGAGUUCGGUAGGGGAGUCUGGAAUUCCUGGUGUAGCGGUGAAAUGCGCAGAUAUCAGGAGGAACACCGGUGGCGAAGGCGGGUCUCUGGGCAACAACUGACGCUGAGGAGCGAAAGCGUGGGGAGCGAACGGG
rnacentral:rRNA from 1 species